rnacentral:rRNA from 1 species
GACGAACCGAGCGAACGUUGUUCGGAAUCACUGGGCUUAAAGGGUGCGUAGGCGGGUAAGUAAGUCAGUGGUGAAAUCUCCGGGCUUAACUCGGAAACUGCCGUUGAUACUAUUUAUCUUGAAUAUCAUGGAGGUAAGCGGAAUAUGUCAUGUAGCGGUGAAAUGCUUAGAUAUGACAUAGAACACCGAUAGCGAAGGCAGCUUACUACAUGUUAAUUGACGCUGAGGCACGAAAGCGUGGGGAGCAAACAGG